GACGUAGGGCGCGAGCGUUGUCCGGAUUUAUUGGGCGUAAAGAGCUCGUAGGCGGCUUGUUGCGUCGGCUGUGAAAACCCCGCGGCUUAACCGUGGGCUUGCAGCCGAUACGGCAGGCUAGAGUUCGGUAGGGAGACUGGAAUUCCUGGUGUAGCGGUGAAAUGCGCAGAUAUCAGGAGGAACACCGGUGGCGAAGGCGGAUCUCUGGGCCUUACCUGACGCUCAGGUGCGAAAGCUAGGGAGCGAACAGG
rnacentral:rRNA from 1 species